rnacentral:lncRNA from 1 species
CAUCCUGGCCCUUUAACUAACAGCAUCCUGGCCCUUUAACUAACAGCAUCCUGGCCCUUUAACUAACAGCAUCCUGGCCCUUUAACUAACAGCAUCCUGGCCCUUUAACUAACAGCAUCCUGGCCCUUUAACUAACAGCAUCCUUUUUAAACCUGACCGGGCGACUGUCUGUAUAUAUUAGAAUGUUUAUUUAGAUUUGUUUUAAACCCAAUACUUUUAGUGAAUGUUUAGCACCGCAUUAGAGAUUGACUGAAAUAAGUCACUGGUAAAUACAUGCUUCACAAUCUAGUUUAAAGUCUCCAACUUGUUUAAAAUCUUCUUAUUUUCCUCUUUAUCUUAAUGGAUGUUUUAUUUAUUUUUGCUUAUUGCUUUAAUUGAAGCUCUUGUUUUGUCUCGUCUUUUUUUGUGUGUGUGUGGUAGCUGUUGUCAUUCUUCGAUUUAUUUAGCUCUCAAUGGUGGUUUGUUUUUGUAAGUCGCUGCAGGGUCCGUAUCCACAAAAGCAUCUCUGCUGAUCUAGGAUCAGGUUAUCAUUUUAGAUCAAACACAAUGCAUUGUGGUUAUUUUUAUGAAUACGAUUACAUUAGACAGAUCCUAGAUCAGCAAUUCUCCUCUGGGAUUCUUUUUAGGCUUUGAGCCCAGGUCCUUAAACCCCAUUCUGUAUCUAACCUUGUAGCCAUGUAGACUGUUUUAUUUAAAAACAUGAUCUAUUGAGCAUCAAAGCAGUCAAUGAGGAGGAGUCAUUCAGCCAUAACCAAAGUGACCUGCUUUAAUCAGUGUUUAAAUUUUUUAACUCUUAUUACUGUGGUCCGUUACUUUUGUUUCUGUACAAGUUAUGUUCGCUAUUUGAUACUGAGUUUUCUCUUAUCUAAGCAGUGAAGUUGAAGUUCAGUAUUAGUUUUGGUUUCUGUUUGGGUCCUAUUGAGGUUGGGAGCUAACAGACACUAGUGUUAAGGGCUCUAUUAUGUUAAAGCCUCUACCAUCAGAUGGGUAUGAUAGUCUCACCUGCAGUGUUUUGUACAGUCCCCAUGGUGUUUCACUGUGUACUUCAUGGUUUCACGUGAAAUUGUUUAAUUUCAAUGUAAAUUAUUUGUAAUAUUUUACCUUUUUUUGCUUUUUUGCAUUCAUACAAAAUGUCUAUUUUACUAAGAAUUUGUAAUAAAGGUGUUUUACAUAUUG